rnacentral:rRNA from 1 species
UACGUAGGGUGCAAGCGUUAAUCGGAAUUACUGGGCGUAAAGCGUGCGCAGGCGGCGCCGCAAGUCAGGCGUGAAAUCCCCGAGCUCAACUUGGGAAUUGCGCUUGAAACUACGGUGCUGGAGUAUGGCAGAGGGAGGUGGAAUUCCACGUGUAGCGGUGAAAUGCGUAGAUAUCUGGAGGAACACCGGUGGCGAAGGCGGCAUCCUGGACCGACACUGACGCUGAGGAGCGAAAGCCAGGGGAGCAAACGGG